GCAGUGAGUGCGGAGGGCGGGCGGGAGGAGGUGCCGGAGGGGUCCGCGGAGCCCCCCGCGCCGCUGCCCCACAGAGGACCGUCCCGGACGAGAUUUGCUACUCAGUAUUUUUUUAAUGUUUGGCUUUAUAAGUGCAUACAUAUGUUAAGGAAAAAAAAAAGAAAAAGAAGAAGAAAAGGAAGAGAAAUAGUAAGGAUACUUUUUUUUUUUUCUCUCUCUCUCUCUCUAAGGUAACUUAAAUGUCGCACCUUAUUGUGAUGGGUUUGUAGUGUCCCUGGGUCCCGCCGAGAUGCUCGCACCGUGCCGUGCGGGCUCAGGUUGGGGCGGAGGGGCGGCGGAGCCCCGCACCUGUGCCAGCACUUUAUGGGCGGCCGCAGUGCCUUGGGCACCUCGGGGCGCCGCCGGCUUCGGGAGUGCGGGGAAGGAGGGCAGUGCCGUUAUGUAACCCCGCGUUCGGCUGUUCUGUUUUCGGCUGAGAAAGCGGAGAGCGGCUCGUCAGCCCGAGCUCGUUUGAGCAUAAAUUCUGACUGACACAAACCGGAGGAAACCCCCCCCUCCCGCUUUGCAAUCGGACGCCGAGACCUUUGGGGCAACUUUCCCGGCCGGGCUCUCCCCUCAUCCCACUCCCGAGCACCGCGAUUUCCCUUUCUGGAGCCAAACCAGACGCCAGAUAAUCACACAGAUAAAGCUUUUAUAAUAAGGCUUAAACCGAGACCUUGCCUGGAUAUUUUUAGUUUGUUGCCAAGGUAGCACUGUGAGAAAUCUCACUUGAAUGUUAUGUAAGAGGUGAGACACAACAGUCUGACUCGGCGCGAGCGCGUACCCGGCUCGGCCCGGCGCUUCGGUGCAUUGCUGCUGCUGUUGCUGCUGUUCGCCUCAAACGCUGUGUUUAAACAACGUUCCAGACCUUAGCGGCCUACCGAGUGGCUGUAUGUACAUAGUUGUUAAUACAUCCAAUUAAUGAUGUCUGACAUGCUAUUUUUGUAGGGAGAAAAUACGUGUUAAUGAUAUUUUGAGUUAAAUAUCUUUUGGGAGGAUUUGCUGAAAAAGUUGCACUUUUGUUACGAUGCUUACGCUUGAUACAAGCUUACGCUGUCUUAAAUUAUUAAAAGAAAAUAAAUCCUGUCUGCAAGAAACCAGCUGGUUUAGAACAGAUUAGUAUGUGAUAUAUUAGAGACCGAUCUUUAUAUUCCGUAUUUUCCAGCACUCCGUGAAUUCUAUUAUCUAAAUAUUUCCACACUAUUUUGUGAUUAAAAAAAAAAUUCUUACUAAGGAAUAAAAACUUUAAUACGCAAAA